rnacentral:rRNA from 1 species
UACGAAGGGGACUAGCGUUGUUCGGAAUUACUGGGCGUAAAGCGCGCGUAGGCGGAUCGCUAAGUCAGGGGUGAAAUCCCAGGGCUCAACCCUGGAACUGCCUUUGAUACUGACGAUCUGGAGAUCGGGAGAGGUGAGUGGAAUUCCGAGUGUAGAGGUGAAAUUCGUAGAUAUUCGGAGGAACACCAGAAGCGAAGGCGGCUCACUGGCCCGAUACUGACGCUGAGGCGCGAAAGUGUGGGUAGCGAACAGG